rnacentral:rRNA from 1 species
UGAGUAACCUGCCCUCCACUCUGGGAUAAGCCCGGGAAACUGGGUCUAAUACCGGAUAUGACCUCCUGUCUCAUGGCGGGUGGUGGAAAGUUUUUUCGGUGGGGGAUGGACUCGCGGCCUAUCAGCUUGUUGGUGAGGUAAUGGCUCACCAAGGCGACGACGGGUAGCCGGCCUGAGAGGGUGACCGGCCACACUGGAACUGAGAUACGGCCCAGACUCCUACGGGAGGCAG